GACGAACGCUGGCGGCGUGCCUAAUACAUGCAAGUCGAGCGGACCACUUCGGUGGUCAGCGGCGGACGGGUGAGUAACACGUGGGCAACCUGCCUGUAAGACUGGGAUAACACCGGGAAACCGGUGCUAAUACCGGAUAAUCCUUUCCUUCACAUGAGGGAAAGCUGAAAGACGGUUUCGGCUGUCACUUACAGAUGGGCCCGCGGCGCAUUAGCUAGUUGGUGAGGUAACGGCUCACCAAGGCAACGAUGCGUAGCCGACAUGAGAGGGUGAGCGGCCACACUGGGACUGAGACACGGCCCAGACUCCUACGGGAGGCAGCAGUAGGGAAUCUUCCGCAAUGGACGAAAGUCUGACGGAGCAACGCCGCGUGAGCGAUGAAGGCCUUCGGGUCGUAAAGCUCUGUUGUCAGGGAAGAACAAGUACCGGAGUAACUGCCGGUACCUUGACGGUACCUGACCAGAAAGCCACGGCUAACUACGUGCCAGCCGCCGCAGUAAUAC
rnacentral:rRNA from 1 species